UUCUAGCUAGAAUUUACUCUGGAAGAAAGUAGAACUACAAGCAAGAAUUUUUAAAAAUUAUAUAUAGACAAGAGGGUAAUCCAGGUUCUGUUCUUUCAAGCUAAGAUUUGAGGUUUAUUUGAUUUUAAAUAAAAUAGUAAUCAAUGAUAUCAUGGUAAACAAAUACUUCCAUGACAAUUUGAUUUGGCAUGGAAUUGAAUAGAUUAACAUGCUGGAUGCUGGGGUCCUUGCAGAGAGAUGAUUGUUCUAGCUAGAAUUUACUCUGGAAGAAAGUAGAACUACAAGCAAGAAUUUUUAAAAAUUAUAUAUAGACAAGAGGGUAAUCCAGGUUCUGUUCUUUCAAGCUAAGAUUUGAGGUUUAUUUGAUUUUAAAUAAAAUAGUAAUCAAUGAUAUCAUGGUAAACAAAUACUUCCAUGACAAUUUGAUUUGGCAUGGAAUUGAAUAGAUUAACAUGCUGGAUGCUGGGGUCCAUGCAAAGAGAUGAUUGUUCUAGCUGAACCUUUACUUGUUUAUAGGUGGAAGAUACAGCAGUUUAGAGGAUAUGAAGUUCAACUUAUCUCCUAGUUUCAAG
rnacentral:lncRNA from 1 species